ACGCACGCUGGCGGCAUGCCUAACCCAUGCAAGUCGAACGAGACCUUCGGGUCUAGUGGCGCACGGGUGCGUCACGCGUGGGAACCUGCCCUUAGGUUCGGAAUAACUCCCCGAAAGGGGUGCUAAUACCGGAUAAUGUCUUCGGACCAAAGAUUUAUCACCUUUGGAUGGGCCCGCGUUGGAUUAGCUAGUUGGUAGGGUAAAAGCCUACCAAGGCGACGAUCCAUAGCUGGUCUGAGAGGAUGAUCAGCCACACUGGGACUGAGACACGGCCCAGACUCCUACGGGAGGCAGCAGUGGGGAAUAUUGGACAAUGGGCGAAAGCCUGAUCCAGCAAUGCCGCGUGAGUGAUGAAGGCCUUAGGGUUGUAAAGCUCUUUUACCCGGGAUGAUAAUGACAGUACCGGGAGAAUAAGCUCCGGCUAACUCCGUG
rnacentral:rRNA from 1 species